UGAAUACGAGACGCUAAGGCGUCGAAGUAGUGUAUGUCAUACUUCCAAGAAAAGCUUGCACUGUCAUAAGUAAAAAAUGCCUGUACCAUAACCGACACAGGUGGGUAGGUAGAGUAUACUAAGGGGCGCGAGAUAACUCUCUCUAAGGAACUCGGCAAAAUAACUCCGUAACUUCGGGAGAAGGAGUACCUUAUUCUAUAAGGUUGCAAUAACAAGAUCCAAGCAACUGUUUAUCAAAAACACAGGUCUCCGCUAAGUCGUAAGACGAUGUAUGGGGGCUGACGCCUGCCCAGUGCCAGAAGGUUAAAGAAGUCGGUUAGCAUUAGCGAGGCUGGUAACUGAAGCCCUGGUGAACGGCGGCCGUAACCAUAACGGUCCUAAGGUAGCGAAAUUCCUUGUCGGGUAAGUUCCGACCCGCACGAAAGGCGUAAUGAUUUGGAUACUGUCUCGGAGAGGGGCUCGGUGAAAUAGACUUGUCUGUGAAGAUGCGGACUACCUGCACCAGGACAGAAAGACCCUAUGAAGCUUUACUGUAACUUGAAAUUGAAAUUGGACUUUAUUCGCGCAGUAUAGGUGGGAGGUGUUGAUUAUAAUCUUGCGGGAUUAUUGGAGCCAUCAGUGAGAUACCACUCUUGUAAUGUUAGAUUUCUAACUUUGAAUCAUUAUCUGGUCAAAGGACAGUUUCAGGCGGGCAGUUUGACUGGGGCGGUCGCCUCCCAAACGGUAACGGAGGCGUACAAAGGUUUCCUCUGAACGGGUAGAAAUCGUAUCUAGAGUGUAAAGGCAUAAGGAAGCUUGACUGUGAGACCUACAAGUCGAACAGGGACGAAAGUCGGUCUUAGUGAUCUGACGGUACUGAGUGGAAAGGCCGUCACUCAACGGAUAAAAGUUACUCUAAGGAUAACAGGCUGAUCUCCCCCAAGAGUUCACAUCGACGGGGAGGUUUGGCACCUCGAUGUCGGCUCAUCGCAUCCUGGGGCGGUAGUACGUCCCAAGGGUUGGGCUGUUCGCCCAUGAAAGCGGUACGCGAGCUGGGUUCAGAACGUCGUGAGACAGUUCGGUCCAUAUCCGGUGUAGGCGUUAGAAUAUUGAGAGGAGCCUUCUUUAGUACGAGAGGACCGAGAAGGACAUACCUCUGGUGUACCAGUUAUCGUGCCAACGGUAAACGCUGGGUAGCUAUGUAUGGAGUGGAUAACCGCUGAAAGCAUCUAAGUGGGAAGCCCACCUCAAGAUAAG
rnacentral:rRNA from 1 species